rnacentral:rRNA from 1 species
AUUGAACGCUGGCGGCAUGCCUUACACAUGCAAGUCGAACGGCAGCGGGGGAGAAGCUUGCUUUUCCUGCCGGCGAGUGGCGAACGGGUGAGUAAUACAUCGGAACGAGCCCUGUAGUGGGGGAUAACUAGUCGAAAGAUUAGCUAAUACCGCAUACGACCUGAGGGUGAAAGUGGGGACCGCAAGGCCUCACGCUAUAGGAGCGGCCGAUGUCUGAUUAGCUAGUUGGUGGGGUAAAGGCCUACCAAGGCGACGAUCAGUAGCUGGUCUGAGAGGACGAUCAGCCACACUGGGACUGAGACACGGCCCAGACUCCUACGGGAGGCAGCAGUGGGGAAUUUUGGACAAUGGGCGAAAGCCUGAUCCAGCAAUGCCGCGUGUGUGAAGAAGGCCUUCGGGUUGUAAAGCACUUUUGUCCGGAAAGAAAUGGCUCUGGUUAAUACCUGGGGUCGAUGACGGUACCGGAAGAAUAAGGACCGGCUAACUACGUGCCAGCCGCCGCCGUAA